AUUACAGCGUUAAUUUGUUCAACUAUAUGAAACUUUGUUUUAGGUGUUUUAAAAUGAUACCAAAUUUAUUUCCGAUUAUUCCAACGGCAGAAUACAAGGCACAGGGAACUUUGAGGUUCGUAAACGCUAUUUAGAGGUGCGUAAACGCUAUUUCCUUAAUUCCAGAGGUGCGUAAACGGUGUUUACGUGCGUUUGACCCUCCACUACAGUCCUGGUAACAAUCAAUUAUUACUGAGAGAAAUAUAUAUUCAAAUUCUAGGUACAAGUCGAGAGAUAUGUCAGAAGUUCAUGAAGACUCUCAAAGCAGCAUUUGAUGCAACCAGUCUUUUUGUACAGGUCAAAUACGCAUACAAUUAAACAUAUAACUCUGUUACUCAUACAUUCAAGAAGGCUACACUGCUCGAUUAUUGUCGUUUUAAAAGGCGACUGACAGAUUGUGUCAGACAUACAACCAACCUACCUGUUCAGAACGAUAUAUAGGCCUAUAGGCUACGUUAUUAUCAUGUCAGCGUUGAUCUGAAUGAGCACGCGAUACAGCGGCUCGUGGCGUGACAGCCUUUAAAUACCAGCCCAGACGACACGAGCGUCAUUCCACAGAUGAAGACAGUCGGAGACCAUCCAGAGAACUCGUUGCUUCGGUUUGAUUGACGUCUAUUGGCCCUGCAGCCUGCUGUUUUUUUUACCAUCCAAACCCCCCUACCCCAUCUUUCUCGCUACCCCCAAACCCCAUCUCCUCUUAUGGCGUUUUUGAUGUCUCUUUUUUGAGACCGCUCAGUAAAACGGCUUGCCUAUCCUCUACCUGUCUCUACCCUAUUUCUCUCUACCUUAUUUACCGCUAUCAUUACGGCAUUCUCAUUUCUAAAGUACUUGAAAUGAACAAAAAAAACGAACUUGAAAAACCCUGAGCCAAUGAAAAACCCAGAGCCAUUGAAAAAAACCCAGAAACUUGAAAAAAAAAAAAAAUCUUUCUUUUUGAAAUAGAAAGUACCAUCUCACUACAAACUGGUUUGUUUUGAGAAAUCUCCUCCUGUACCUAUUGUCACACUCUGUACCUACUGUCACACUCCCUGUAGUUCACGCUGAAGAGAUGCCAAAGAAAAGCAAAAGAUCCCAAGCGGCUAAAGUAAGGUGGAGUAAGUCUGGUGAGUUUCCGCUCAAAACACAAGCUGAACAUGUGCAGAAUUGUGAUCCUGACAGCAACAGAGAAGUACAUUUUCCUGACCAUUCUCAUGCUAAUGUGACAUGUGUGUUAGCAUCCUACAGUCAGAGCCAUCAUAGAUAUAUUGA